rnacentral:lncRNA from 1 species
GGAGAAUAUAUAAAUAACUUGCUCAGUUCUGCAAUUUCACAGUUAAAUCGUGUGAUUCAAUCAUGAAGGCGUGUGUACUUCUGGCUUUCUUCUUGGUAGUGGCCUUUGUGGCCACCGCGCAAUGUGAAGAGGUCGAGGAAAACAAUUACUACAGUCCCCUUCAUGUUCUGCAGAAAAGACAACUUUAUCCUAAGCCCAACAUUCCUCGCUGCACUUCGUGGGAAUGCAACUCCAGCUGCCGACGCGCUGGCAGACAUCUGGGUGGAUACUGCACCCUCGUCGGAUGCAACUGUCUUUGAUAAACAUGCAAAAUCAAGUCUACCAACAUUGUAAAUAGUUACUACUUUUUUUUUUAUUAACGGCUCUGGGUUCUAGUCCUUUUCAACAUGAAUUUAUUACAGAAAUUAUUUAACAAACAUAACAUGAAUUACAUGAAAUUUAACUAUAUCAAAACUGACGUUAAAAUUCUUAUUAGGUAUAGUUUCAAAGUCUAGGAGUACUAAGUACUUAAAACAUGGAAUAAUGUACCUACUUCAAGUCCAGGACUGAAAAUAGUUUUAAAAAAUUAUGUAUUUAAAAAUAUUUUAUUAUUGAUAUGUAAAUUUAAAUAUAUAUGUAUUUGAAAAAUGGAAACUGGUUUUUAGUAUUUAUAUUUUCUUUACCUUUAACGUUAAUUUACCUUAACCUAAAUAAACCUUAAUUUGUAUUAAUGAAAAAUCAAUAUUAUAGAUAAUUAAAUUAUUAAAAUUAAUACAGUUUCUAAAAUUAAUACAAUGUAUUAGAAUUACUAUUGAAUUGAAAAGUGAAAAUUAAAAGUUAAAGUUAUUAUAAAUCCA